ensembl:lncRNA
UGCUGUAGGUGACCUUGUAACUAAGGAAGGGUCUCAUGUGGGAGGCACAUUUGGGAACGCUGAGAAAGGAAUGGGCAAAGUCCGGGUGUUCCUCUGCCCCCAGGUGUUUCCAGCUGUCAUGACAGCCCCUGGGGGGGGGGGUGAAGCUGUGGCACAAGCUAAGAUGAUACUUGGCUCUAAUCAUGGAGUAAAGCAAACUGCAGCAUGAUCUAGAAAAAUAUGAGAUGCUAGAAUUUAUUUUUCCUUUCAAGUCAGUUUUUAUUAAUAAUUAUUUAUGAUUUUAUUCUAGUCUAUAUUAUUAUUUUAUUUUUAUAUUUAUAUUUUCUUUAUAAUUAAGAAAGCAAAAUACAUAAAACCCAGUCUCUGCACUGGCUUUGUUUCUCUGAGUUUUUUUUCCCCCCAUGUUUUUCUCACUUCCUCAAUAUGUAUAUUUGGAGGCCAUUCACUGCAAUUGUAUCUGAGAGACUGACAGCUAAAGUAACAUUUUUAAUAAAUGCAGAUUAUUGGAGUCAGAAUCCAAAGUGCUCUGUUUAUGGCACAGAAGGAUGAAAACCAUGAUUGCAAAGUACUCUUCAUCCUUGAUUCCCACUGACUUCCUUUGCUCCCUUGUCAUUGUGCUAUUGAUUGUUUUCACUGAAAGUAAUUGGAGCGUUAGCACCUUGCCAGAGAUCCUCAACACCUUCAGAAAUCGGUUUCAGUAAUUAUACAUACAGAGUUUUUCUGGAGAAGUGGUAAAUGCUUGACAAACAUUUACUUCAAGAAGGCUCCUGUUUGUGCCACACACCUAAGCAGAGUCGUGUGGAAUCUCUCUGAGCAGGGUCGUAGGAAGUCUGGAGAAGUCCCAGAGGGCGGCUGUUGCCAAGCAUGGAGUACCUCCAACUUCCAGCGAGGUGGGAGUCUGUUUCAAGACAGCUUCUGCAUUUUAUGUUGUUUACAUGGGUGGGCUUUUCUCACCAGAGGAUAUCAAAAUUUGUUUCAGAAACGCAUAGGGUUUGAGUCAAACAUCCUUCAAAAAGGAUGCCAAAGUGGUGCCUCCCUUUCACUACAUAAAGUUCUUUUGCAGAUGACACUAUAUUUCAGCUCCUCUUGUGCUGUUCAGAAGAAUAUGUGUAUACCUGUGAGUAUGAUGUAGCGGUUAAAUCUUGAACUUCUGGAUUCUUACUCCAGCCUUGCAACUACAAUGAUGAAUUACCAUAGGCAGUCUGCUCUGUUUUCCCUUCUGUGAGAUAUAGGUAAUGCUCUCGUAUUUCACACGUUGUUGUGCAGGUUAGUCAUCUGCAAGGUUUAACUGUAAUAUUUUGAGAUGAAACUUCCUGUGGAAAUGCUUUAUUAUUAUUAUGUACCCUAUUUUGUUUGUCAGUUCCUUAGACCAAAUCUAACUGGAAGAGAAUAUAUAAUAGAAUCUAUCCAGAUUUCUGACAGAGAUUAUUUAGGAAAAAAACCCACCAACAGCAAGUAUACAGAUUUGCUCUUAAGAUUUCAAAAAUAAUUUAGAGGGGUGGGGCAUGUUUUUCUAGUAUAUAUGUUUAUUAAGAUAAAGUAUCUUGAGAUAAUCAAUAUAUAAAUUUUACUCAUCAUCAAGUAUGCAGAUUAAAAGCAAGAAUUUGAAAAUACCAUUAAAAGAUAAUGAAUCUGAAACAAUCUAAAAAUUCUUACCUUCUCCUGCACUGUUUAAAUGCAGUAUUUGCUUCCUCUCCUCACCCAUGUGCUGUGUGAAUGAUGUGCACAUACAAAACAAGUGCACUGUUUAGGUAUUAGUGCAGUGCAGACAUCUGGUUCAGUGCAGACAGCAGGGGAAUGUUUUGUAAGUAAAAACACUGGGUUAACUUCUGCUUUCAUUUGAAUCAUUCUGGAUCUGGACUGCCAAAACCAAAUCAAUGGAGUUAUUUCAAGGUUGUACUGAUGCUAGUAAGGGCAGAAUUUGGCACAGAGUGCCUAAUUUUUUGUAAUGAACCAAGUUGGCUUGGUGUUCACUUUAACAGAGGAAACAGGUGAUUUUUGCCAAGAUUUCUUUGGAACUGUCCCUGGGUAGUAAAUCCAAGCUUUAAGUGUUGUCAUUAGCUUUUCUGAGGGGCAAAGUGCUUUUAAUCUGCAUUGAUUGGAACCUACUCUAUGUAGAGGUAGGAAGAUAA